AAAAUAAAGAAAGGCAAUCCAGCGGAUACAGAGGAGACAGGGAUGAUUUUGAUGACCGAAGGGACCAUGCAAAACAAAGGAAGAGACAGAGUGACCGAGAUGAUCACAGGAAAAAGGAGUGGGAUCAUAAAAAAAGAUCUUCAAAUGAUAAUGACGCUUAUGACAAGAGGGAUUAUGAAGCUAAUAGAAAUAGAAAUGGAAGAGAAUCUGGUGACAAGUCAGAGAAGAGGAAGG
rnacentral:misc_RNA from 1 species